GACGAACGCUGGCGGCGUGCUUAACACAUGCAAGUCGAGCGGAAAGGCCUUUCGGGGUACUCGAGCGGCGAACGGGUGAGUAACACGUGAGUAAUCUGCCCUUCACUCUGGGAUAGCCACCGGAAACGGUGAUUAAUACCGGAUACGACCAUCCCCGGCAUCGGGUGGUGGUGGAAACUUUUUUGGGUGGGGGAUGUGCUCGCGGCCUAUCAGCUUGGUGGUGGGGUAAUGGCCUACCAAGGCCUCGACGGGUAGCCGGCCUGAGAGGGUGACCGGCCAGACUGGGACUGAGACACGGCCCAGACUCCUACGGGAGGCAGCAGUGGGGAAUAUUGGACAAUGGGCGGAAGCCUGAUCCAGCAACGCCGCGUGAGGGAUGACGGCCUUCGGGCUGUAAACCUCUUUCAGCACCGACGAAGCGCAAGUGACGGUAGGUGCAGAAGAAGGACCGGCCAACUACGUGCCAGCCGCCGCAGUAAUAC
rnacentral:rRNA from 1 species